CUGUUUUCGGUCAAAUUCGACCAAACUUGCACCAGUUCCUCUGAGAAAACACACUUAGGGCCCUCGGUUGGCCAAAAAAACGAAGAAAGCCGAAACUCACCUACGGUGGGGCUCUCUGGUGCGGUGGCUCCUCCAGCUCACGUUGCGGUUGGGUGUUUUGCUCCAGUCAACUUGUAGAGGAGGAAACGGUGAUCACAAUGGUGAGAAAAUCACAUCAAACGGGAAUCGGGAAGGGCCUCAUCAGAGGCAAAAAUUGAAAUACCCCGCGGUAGCGCAGUUGAGCUUUGGCAGUGUUUUCUUGCCAAUUGGCUAGUGCUUUUACUCUUAUUUGGCCAUAGGUGGGUUUAAAAUAAAAUUCUGAGCAAAUGGUAGAAUUUUUACCUCCUUUGGCGGCCAGAAAUUGCUUCGGUAUGGCAGCGGGUGGCAACGGUCGACUCCCCAUUGGCUGGGCUGACUUCUCCGGCGAGGGGCUCUGGCGGUUAGGGUUAGAGUUUGGGUGCGGAUGGGGUUAUUUAUACCCAUCCGCUUUUGAUCUGAGCUGUCCAUCGCUUUUAAUUUGGAUUGUCUAAUCACGAUUAAAUAGGGAGUGAAUCUGGGCCAUUCGUCGCGAUUUAAUCUUGGACGUCCAUGCACGAUUCAAUAUGGACCAUCCGUGCGCGAUACAAUCUGGUCCGUCUGUGCGCGCUUUUGAUCCGGGCCGUCCGUGCGUG
rnacentral:lncRNA from 1 species